AGGCCUUGAUGGCAUGGAGGACAUUAAAUCCUCAGCAAAAAAUGAUCCCUAUUGGUAAAGCAGUACAGACACUCGGAGAAGGAAGAUUUUCUCCACCAGAAACUGAAGGCCAUGGCUCUCCUCAGCAGUGUCACUGGGGGGGUGGAGGGUGGACACAGCCUGGGCUGUGGGCUGGUAACACCACUGAGGUUCUUUCUUAACUUCCCCUUUCCCCCAGGACUCUGGAUAGAGUCAUAUUUAGCGUCAGGGUGUUGUCAGUGUUUGAAACAGGAUCUCACCAUGUAACGCAGGCCGGCCUUGACUCAAGAUGUCCCUGCCUCAGCCCAGAGGGAGCUGUGAUUUCAGGAUAUAGAACUCCCCCCAUCACACACCCAGGCAUGGAUUUGUGGGGGUGCUUUUUCACUACUGCAUUUCUAGCAGGGCUCCAAUGCCUGGCACGUGGCAGUCCUACAGACCAACUCCCUGGAUGACAGAGUCGCCCUUCUCUGGAUGCCGGGCUGCAGCGGUGGCACCGUGGGCGAAGACGUCAAGGCGGAGUUCACAGCAGAGACCCACAAAGGCUGGCCAGGCAGGCGGGACAAGUGUGACCCAGAGAAGCAGCUGCUGUAAAUGGAGCAGCUGGCGGCUGACAGCUGACGGCAAGCCAUGACGAGAUGGGAUUUCCUCUGAGCGGUGCUGCUUGAAGAAGGACGACGAGAGGGCCAUUGUCUUAGUCAGUGUUCUCUUGCUGGGAAAAGACAUCGGGACUGCGACUGCGGGCUCCUGACAGCGGUCUCGGGAACUCCUACUGCUUUAUUGGCUGGCUGCCUUCCACACAAGUGACGGCGUGCACCUGCUAGAGUGCACCCAGAAGAAAUCUGUCCUGAGGUCUAUUAAACAGACUCAUUAUGACUCACUGGAAAUG